UUGAUAGAAACCAAAAAGAGGUGUAUCACUGUUAAUGAUAUUAUUGAAUUAUAAUUCCUAUCAAUC
rnacentral:tRNA from 1 species